CAGGACGAGCGCUGGCGGCGUGCCUAACACAUGCGAGUCGAGCGAGGAGAUUCCUCGGGAUGAUCCUAGCGGCGGACGGGUGAGUAACACGUGGGCAACCUGCCUCAUAGAGAGGAAUAGCCUUCCGAAAGGGAGAUUAAUACCUCAUAACAUUGCGGUUUCGCAUGGAACAGCAAUUAAAGGAGUAAUCCGCUAUGAGAUGGGCCCCGCGGCGCAUUAGCUAGUUGGUGAGGUAACGGCUCACCAAGGCGACGAUGCGUAGCCGACCUGAGAGGGUGAUCGGCCACAUUGGGACUGAGACACGGCCCAGACUCCUACGGGAGGCAGCAGUGGGGAAUAUUGCACAAUGGGGGAAACCCUGAUGCAAGCAACGCCGCGUGAGUGAUGACGGCCUUCGGGUUGUAAAGCUCUGUCUUCAGGGACGAUAAUGACGGUACCUGAGGAGGAAGCCACGGCUAACUACGUGCCAGCAGCGGC
rnacentral:rRNA from 1 species